AAGUGCAGUAUGAAUAGAUGUUUAUUUUAAAAGAGAGACAGGCAGACAAAUCCAAAACGUGAUCCAUAAACGUAAUCCAAAACAGGCGAAGGUCAGGCGAUCGGCAAACAGGCAUACACAGGGUUAAACAUGAAUCAAGGUCGUGGUCACGGAAAACAGGGUCGAUAAACAAAACGAGAAACAUGAACUAUGACGAGGAACUGGAAGCGGAUAAUCCAGCGUGAACUAACUCUAAAACUCUGAUUAAAACUACAACACAACUUUAGACAAUAAUUAUAUAACUCAGUGUUACAGAGUAAACGCCAUUAUAAUCUUUUUACUUUUAUAAAGAUGGUUAAACCUAGAACUUGUCUCUCAGGGAGAACUGCGAAGAACCCUGUAACAGACCACUGUCCCAUUAAGAGAGGGUUCUAAGUACCUUUAACUGUACUCUUUAGUACCUCUUUACAAAUCCCUGUUUUCUUCUACUGUAAAACAUGUUCUAGAGUCUGAUGUGAAGAACACAAGGUCUCAGAAGUGGAUAAAUAAACUUCACAGCAAAAAUUUCAUCCACGCCAUGACGUUCAGUUGAAUUUUCAGAAUUGUAAUUAAAAUGAGUAACCUAAAGCACCUUUAUAUAAUAAAAAUUCAUAAAUUUACCACAGAAAUAUAACGACAGCCAGAAAUCCCUAUGAAGCCCGCCCAUCUCCUCUUCGACCAAUCACAGGACACGGUGACAUCAGUCGUUAGUUUUUAUUCACAUGACUUCAUUCAGCGCCAAUUCACAAAUAUUAACUUAAAGUCAUUAAUAAAACAGUUACAAACAGCAACGUAAACUGAACACAAAGAGAAAGUGUUUAAAAUUAAAACGUGACCAUUUUUACACUUACACACAAGGUAAUGUAGGCUACAUUAGACUUUCAGGCUCACUCCACAGUGAACAGAGUGUGUUGUGUGUGUGUGUGUGUGUGUGUGUGUGUGUGUGUAUAAAAUAUGUUAGAGUUAAUUUAAUGUUAAACUGAUUUUAUCCUAAAUUUAUUCCUGAACAAACACUCAUCACUUUUCUCACUCAUAUUUUAUCCCAUUUUUACAGAUCCAGGGUCAAUUUUCAUCUCCACUGCACUGACGGAAUCAUUAAACACACUAACCACUUAAAAACAAUCUGCAGCGCCGCCUAGUGGCUACUUCCGGUAACUCCAGAUCACAUGGAGUUCAUUAUCAUAAGAUAGUGUGCGUUAUAAAUAUAUUUUUCCCAUUAACUGUGCUGUUCCCACACAUUUAGCAUUUAAGCUGAGUUGGUCUUUACAAACCACGUCUCCCACACACAUUAACGCUAGUGUUCAACUUUUAGAAAGUUCCAGAAAAGAGACAGACAAGCCACAAAGAAGCCGAGCAUAUUCCGAGGAACUCUAGAAAUGUCUCAGAACACACUCACACACACACUUUAAUACACAAUACAAAAGAAAACGUACAUAAAACAAACAUAAAUGUCCUCUUUCUCACACACACACACACACACACACACACACACACACACACACACACACACAGAAUAAAGUUUAUAAACUAAAUAAUUAUUCACUGAAUUUGGCUUCUUUCUUUCCCUUUUCUUUAUUAAAAUCAUUAACACUAAACGAAUAAACUAAAUAAGCCAAUCACCCAAAAGAGAAAACAAAAGGAAUGUGGAUGAAGCUCUCAGGCAUACUCUGAUUAUGUCACUUCCUCCUCUGGCAGGAAGCAGGAAGGUGAUCCUCAGCUGCAGGUUCGAGGCCUGUAGUGAAACUGUGUGUGACCGACAUGUUGACUUCUCUUUAAACACUGUUGAGCGGAAGAUAUAGACUGAGGAGGAAGAUGGAGGAUGAAGUCGAUGCUGCAGUUGUUCCGCUCACUUCUGCUGCUGCUGCUGUCUCAAACUGGCCAAUAGGAUCAUCUUGUGGGUGGG
ensembl:lncRNA